rnacentral:lncRNA from 1 species
CGUUAGUGCGCGUGCUCAGGCGCGCCCUCUUCUUUCUCCCCAAAAACUCGUGGGACAGGCGGGACAGCCGUCGAGCUGGUCUCAGCAGAACCAUGAUCUGCCUUUUCUUAAGCCUGUUCGCCUACAUGUUUAAAACAGUUCAGUUUCGAAGAAUCGGUUCAAUAACGCGAUUCUAAGGUCUUCUCACAACAGCUUGGGGUUUGCAACUAAAAUUAUACCAUGAUACUAGCAUAGUACUUGUAUAAAAUGAUUGACUUGAUAAGUGAAAUGUUAAAAAAACAUACCAGUCCUGCUUAAAUUUUUUAUAAACAUUUCUCAAUCUUUAAAAA